rnacentral:rRNA from 1 species
GACAGAGGGGGCAAGCGUUGUCCGGAAUUACUGGGCGUAAAGCGCGCGCAGGUGGCCGAGUAUGUGCCUGGUGACAGUCCGGUGCUUAACACCGGGAGGCCUGGGUAGACAGCUUGGCUGGCAGCAGGGAGAGGGCAGUGGAAUACCCGGUGGAGCGGUGAAAUGCGUAGAGAUCGGGUGGAACACCAGUGGCGAAGGCGACUGCCUGGCCCUGACUGGACGCUGAGGCGCGACAGCGUGGGGAGCAAACGGG